GAGGAGAGGAGGGCAGUAUGAAGUUUUAACCCUGAUGUGGAAAAUGGAAGUAUCACUUUAUAUCUUAAUUUCACACUUCAUGUAGUGAUUUACAAAUAAUAAAACUACAUCUCCGUCUGUCAUCUAUUUGUCUUUUAGUGAGUGGAGAGGAGAGGAGAGGAGAGGAGGGAGGGCCAAAGCAAGUGUGGGCUCUCAUUCAAAAGUGAAGAGGAGAGGAGAGGAUGCCAGAGGUCAACAGGAAGUCUCUCUGAUGCAAAUGAGAAGAGCAGAGGAAAGGUGGGCGAGAGGAGAUGAAAAGGGACAGAAAAAGCCACUGUACCUGCCAGAUAAAAUGACUGAACCAGAUUGCAGAAAGAUGAAUUCACUGGACCAAACUUCAGAAGCUGCCAGAAGUCAAACUCAUCUCACCACAAUGACUUUUGACACAAUCAAACAGUAAACAUGUGUUUCCAAUGAAAAGUCAAAACGAGAAGAAAUGUUUCAGUUUGGUUUCUGAGGUUUAGAUCUUACCUCAUGUUUAAUGACUUUGUAUGUUGGGGAAUCAAAAUAGUCUGUGUUUAUAUUGUGUUGUACUAAUGAUUGGAAAUUCUGCCACCCUCAAAAAAAUCUGUGGAUUAUUCUGAGUAACUGGAAAGAUACAAUACUGUUCAACAUGGUUUUUCUAAGCUUUGAAGACCACAAGACAAGUGUCCUCUAGUUCCAGUAUAUUCAAGAGAAGGCAGACAAAAUGAUGGCUGAAAUCUCCAAAACAAUGACUUUUUAAAUUUUGGUGUGAGCUGUCCCUUUAAUCUCUGGCACAGAAAAGCCAAAGAUGCGUUUGUGGAGUGAUUCAAGUGCAGGUGUUCUGUCACUAGAAGGCAGUAUGAGCCUGAGCACGCUCCUCUCAACAUCAGUGGAGAGAGUGGAGAACAUCAAGUUCCUCAGAGUGCAGAAUCAGAUCUCGCACAACCUGAGCUGGAAUAAAAACACCUCAGGGAUCACGAAACAGGCCCAGCAGAGACUGUCUUUCCUGAGGAAGCUGAAACAAGCCUCGCUCCCCAUCAGCAUCCUCAGGACCUUCUACGGUGGUGUGGUGGAGAGCGUUAUUCUCGCACUGUAUCUCAACAUGGUACUCCAACAGUCACAUUAACAGCUUCUUUCCACAAACUGUUAGACUGAUGAGCUGCUGAUCUGGAGCAUGUGCACUGAUGCACUUCAUGAGCCCUAAGUCAUAGUUUGUAUAUUGAUAUAUUGUGUGUUAUUAAUUGUGUCUUCUGUUAUUGAUUCUGGAGAAACAUAAUCUCAUAGAUUAGCGCACGAUAAUCACAUUAUUAUGUAUGCAAAAUGAGCCACGGGAGUCUGUGAUGUAAAGUUUCUGUCCAUCAGAUCAAAAGGCAGAUUUCUGGCAGGAUGGGUCACGGUUGGCUGAACUUCCCAUCACUCCCACCAAACCUCACCAUUGCACCUUACUGAAAUGUUGGUGUUCAAGAGAGGUGAGUAACCGGUGUCUGCACUGAUCCAUUUUAAGAUGUCAUCAGAGGACCAAAUUGACCAAAAUUACGCUUGAGGAUUAUAAACAGCAGUGUUGAAUUAAAGUCACUUGUGAAUCUUG